UCAGACGAUGCGUCAUGCAUAUCAAUAAGCGGAGGAAAAGAAACUAACAAGGAUUCCCCUAGUAACGGCGAGUGAAGCGGGAAGAGCUCAAAUUUGAAAUCUUAAAGGGUUUCCCUUUACGAAUUGUAGUUUAAAGAAGUGUUUUCUGUUGAGGUUUUGGUAAAAGUUCUUUGGAAUAGGACAUCAUAGAGGGUGAGAAUCCCGUAUUUGACCUUUACUUUCAACUUUGUGAUACACUUUCAAAGAGUCGGAUUGUUUGGGAAUGCAGUCCAAAAUGGGUGGUAAAUUUCAUCUAAAGCUAAAUAUUGGCGAGAGACCGAUAGCGAACAAGUACCGUGAGGGAAAGAUGAAAAGAACUUUGAAAAGAGAGUUAAACAGUACGUGAAAUUGUCAAAAGGGAAGCGUUUGACACCAGUGUUGUUUUUCUGAAAAUCAAUUAAAGAACUGUUUAUGCUAAGUUGUUUAGACUUUAUCAGCUAACUGUUUAGUUUUGAGCUUUUCUUUAAUGCACUUUUCAGUUAACAAGUCAACAUCAAUUUCUUUUGCUGUAAAAAAGCUUGAGGAAGGUGGCUUGAGAUUCGUCUUAAGUGUUUAUAGCCUCUUGCCUAUGCAGUCGGAGAGAUUGAGGUCUGCAGCGUAGAUCCUUCGGGGCUAAAUGCAUUUGUGCUAAGUUAUAGCAUUUUAUAGACAACUUGUUGACUAUGAUUUGUCUUGUAGCUUACUCGCUUAUGUUAUUUUACCUACGCUUAGGAUGUUGAGCGCAUGUCUCUCUC
rnacentral:rRNA from 1 species